rnacentral:lncRNA from 1 species
UUGUAGACACCCGAACGAAAAUAUACAUCAAUAAAGUUCAACCCAAUGGCCUUGUUCUUCACCCUAAUCUCCCCAUCUUUUGGGUCCCCUAUUUCAACAUCCUCCCAUUUCAGGACCUGGAGACCUCAGGACCACCAACUUCAUGAACCCUAAUAGCUUUGACCAUGGCGGAUGAUGUAGAAAUAGCGCUAACAGUUGCAAAAUUUGAUUUGAUUACUUUUGGUUUGUUGAAAUUGAGUUGUUGAAGACGAAGAAGAAUCGAGUGUGGAUUAGUGAGAAAGGGGUUUAGUAACAAGUGUGAUCGAAUACCAACAAAUCCCAUUUGCCGUA